rnacentral:rRNA from 1 species
AGGACAAACGCUGGCGGCGUACCUAAGACAUGCAAGUCGAACGGACUGCAGGUUUUCGGAUUUGCAGUGAGUGGCGAACGGGUGAGUAACGCGUAGGAACCCGCCUCGACGUGGGGGGAUAACACUUGGAAACAGGUGCUAAUACCGCAUGUGGUCGGAAGAAGAAAGGCUCUAGCAAUAGAGUCGCGUUGAGAGGGGCCUGCGUCCGAUUAGCUAGUUGGUGGGGUAAAGGCUCACCAAGGCGACGAUCGGUAGCUGGU